rnacentral:rRNA from 1 species
CCGCAUAAGACCACAGUACCGCAUGGUACAGUGAUCAAAGGAUUUAUUUCGCUGAAGGAUGGCUUCGCGUCCGAUUAGGUAGUUGGUGAGGUAACGGCCCCACCAAGCCUACGAUCGGUAGCCGGACCGAGAGGUUGAUCGGCCACAUUGGGACUGAGACACGGCCCAGACUCCUACGGGAGGCAGCAUG